UACGAACUGUGCAAACGUUAUUCGGAAUCACUGGGCUUACAGGGUGCGUAGGCGGCCUGACAAGUAGGGUGUGAAAGCCCCCGGCUCAACCGGGGAAUGGCAUCUGAUACUGGUGGGCUCGAGGAAGGUAGGGGUGGGCGGAACUCCAGGUGGAGCGGUGAAAUGCGUAGAUAUCUGGAGGAACACCGGUGGCGAAAGCGGCCCACUGGACCUUCUCUGACGCUGAGGUGCGAAAGCUAGGGUAGCAAACGGG
rnacentral:rRNA from 1 species